CGGUUGGGGAGCCUACCAUGCAAGUCGAGCGGUAGCACAGAGAGCUUGCUCUCGGGUGACGAGCGGCGGACGGGUGAGUAAUGUCUGGGAAACUGCCUGAUGGAGGGGGAUAACUACUGGAAACGGUAGCUAAUACCGCAUAACGUCGCAAGACCAAAGUGGGGGACCUUCGGGCCUCAUGCCAUCAGAUGUGCCCAGAUGGGAUUAGCUGGUAGGUGGGGUAACGGCUCACCUAGGCGACGAUCCCUAGCUGGUCUGAGAGGAUGACCAGCCACACUGGAACUGAGACACGGUCCAGACUCCUACGGGAGGCAGCAGUGGGGAAUAUUGCACAAUGGGCGCAAGCCUGAUGCAGCCAUGCCGCGUGUGUGAAGAAGGCCUUCGGGUUGUAAAGCACUUUCAGCGGGGAGGAAGGCGGUGAGGUUAAUAACCUUGUCGAUUGACGUUACCCGCAGAAGAAGCACCGGCUAACUCCGUGCCAGCAGCCGCGGUAAUACGGAGGGUGCAAGCGUUAAUCGGAAUUACUGGGCGUAAAGCGCACGCAGGCGGUCUGUCAAGUCGGAUGUGAAAUCCCCGGGCUCAACCUGGGAACUGCAUUCGAAACUGGCAGGCUAGAGUCUUGUAGAGGGGGGUAGAAUUCCAGGUGUAGCGGUGAAAUGCGUAGAGAUCUGGAGGAAUACCGGUGGCGAAGGCGGCCCCCUGGACAAAGACUGACGCUCAGGUGCGAAAGCGUGGGGAGCAAACAGGAUUAGAUACCCUGGUAGUCCACGCUGUAAACGAUGUCGAUUUGGAGGUUGUGCCCUUGAGGCGUGGCUUCCGGAGCUAACGCGUUAAAUCGACCGCCUGGGGAGUACGGCCGCAAGGUUAAAACUCAAAUGAAUUGACGGGGGCCCGCACAAGCGGUGGAGCAUGUGGUUUAAUUCGAUGCAACGCGAAGAACCUUACCUGGUCUUGACAUCCACAGAACUUAGCAGAGAUGCUUUGGUGCCUUCGGGAACUGUGAGACAGGUGCUGCAUGGCUGUCGUCAGCUCGUGUUGUGAAAUGUUGGGUUAAGUCCCGCAACGAGCGCAACCCUUAUCCUUUGUUGCCAGCGGUUAGGCCGGGAACUCAAAGGAGACUGCCAGUGAUAAACUGGAGGAAGGUGGGGAUGACGUCAAGUCAUCAUGGCCCUUACGACCAGGGCUACACACGUGCUACAAUGGCAUAUACAAAGAGAAGCGACCUCGCGAGAGCAAGCGGACCUCAUAAAGUAUGUCGUAGUCCGGAUUGGAGUCUGCAACUCGACUCCAUGAAGUCGGAAUCGCUAGUAAUCGUAGAUCAGAAUGCUACGGUGAAUACGUUCCCGGGCCUUGUACACACCGCCCGUCACACCAUGGGAGUGGGUUGCAAAAGAAGUAGGUAGCUUAACCUUCGGGAGGGCGCUACCACUUUGGAUCCGG
rnacentral:rRNA from 1 species